rnacentral:rRNA from 1 species
UACGUAGGUGGCAAGCGUUAUCCGGAUUUACUGGGUGUAAAGGGCGUGUAGGCGGGGACGCAAGUCAGAUGUGAAAACCACGGGCUCAACCUGUGGCCUGCAUUUGAAACUGUGUUUCUUGAGUACUGGAGAGGCAGACGGGAUUCCUAGUGUAGCGGUGAAAUGCGUAGAUAUUAGGAGGAACACCAGUGGCGAAGGCGGUCUGCUGGACAGCAACUGACGCUGAGGCGCGAAAGCGUGGGGAGCAAACAGG